GACAUGUAUAUUUUAGAAGUUAUAAAUAUUGUGUAAAAACUGUAUUCCUCUGCCGGUGAUAAUGAGAUUACCUAUUGUGUUCAGUAAUCAUAUCACAGGCAGAGGGGAGGAGUUUGUGUGGGAGUGUCUGGGUGUAUUGUACGGAUUGAUUGGUUGUUUUGUAACGCCCUGUGGGCUGUACUAUGUUUGUGGAUUGGAAAUAAAAGAGACUGUAUGUGACAGUACAGGGAGUUCCUGUUUUAACCCUCAAAGUGAAGUGUCGUCUCAUUAUUGGGGGAAGGAUUUAUUGUAUGCUGUUCCAGUUUGACUGCUUGAAGAGUAAACCUAUUCGUAUGGUUCCUAUUCAACUGUUUACAGCAUUCAUAUGCUUGGGAGAAUUUAUUUGUUUCUCCGGUUCGGUGAUUGUGGUGUCUGCCAGAGUGCUUGGAG